rnacentral:rRNA from 1 species
AUAGCGUAUAUUAAAGUUGUUGCAGUUAAAAAGCUCGUAGUUGGAUUUUGGGAUGAGCUAGUUGGUCCGGCGCAAGCUGAGAACUGAUGGGCAUAUCCUUCCUCUCGAAAGCGGCAUGUGCGCUUAACUGAGUGUGUGUCGUGUUCGGGACUUUUACUGUGAAAAAAUUAGAGUGUUCAAAGCAGGCUAUCGCUUGAAUAUUUCAGCAUGGAAUAAUGGAAUAGGACGUUGGUUCUAUUUUGUUGGUUUCUGGGACCGAAGUAAUGAUUAAUAGGGAUAGUUGGGGGCAUUAGUAUUUAAUUGCUAGAGGUGAAAUUCUUGGAUUUACUGAAGACUAACUACUG